ACAAGAUUCAGGUGUGACGCAUGGAUAGAGAAAUUUGACCUGAAUCGUGGAUGGUUUUAUGUACACUGUUCAACCUGCGACAAAACGGUUUAUCCGGAGGAAGAUGGGUCAUUGAUGUUCGUUUGCAAGGAUGAUGAAGACAUAACACCCAGUUCUUGUACUCUGUUAAUGCGAUCAUUACGGAUGGAACAACACCAACUGAAGUCACGUUCUUUGAUGAGGGAAUGACUGCCCUCCUGAAAACAAGCUGUGAGGAUUUGAUCUUGAAACAUGGCUACACUGACCCCAAAUCACUGCCACAACAGAUUUCUGACGUUAUAGGCAUUAGGAAAAUAAUGUAUGUCUCUGUUAGAAGGGAAGGUCAUGUCGUAGUCACCAACGUUACAGAUCUCGCUGAGACAUGUGAUGCUCAGGGAAGCAGUGUAGGAACUCUAGCAUCAGCAGUGCCUCCAACAACUCCAGACCCAAAAGUUAACAUCAACAAACGUUCUCAUACUGAUUCACCAGAUGUUGGCCCUGCCACUAAGGCACUGCAGGUAGGAUGAAUCAGUUGGUGACCAGUUUUUUGGGGUAGCUGCUAAUGAUAGUGUAACAGCAGCGUGAAGCCAUGGAAGAAGAUGUAACAGCUCAAGAAACAUGCUUUUGGUACAAGCUAGGGAACUAGCAGAUGAUGUGUUAGUCACUUAACUUGUAUGCCAACCCAAUUAGCUACAUGAACACAACUUUUGUAGAUGUUAUGUAUGUAGUAUG